rnacentral:rRNA from 1 species
GAUGAACGCUGGCGGCGUGCCUAAUACAUGCAAGUCGAACGAAACUUCUUUAUCACCGAGUGCUUGCACUCACCGAUAAAGAGUUGAGUGGCGAACGGGUGAGUAACACGUGGGCAACCUGCCCAAAAGAGGGGGAUAACACUUGGAAACAGGUGCUAAUACCGCAUAACCAUAGUUACCGCAUGGUAACUAUGUAAAAGGUGGCUAUACUACCGCUUUUGGAUGGGCCCGCGGCGCAUUAGCUAGUUGGUAGGGUAAAGGCUUACCAAGGCAAUGAUGCGUAGCCGAAUUGAGAGGUUGAUCGGCCACAUUAGGACUGAGACACGGACCAAACUCCUACGGGAGGCAGCAGUAGGGAAUCUUCCACAAUGGGCGAAAGCCUGAUGGAGCAACGCCGCGUGGGUGAAGAAGGUCUUCGGAUCGUAAAACCCUGUUGUUAGGGAAAAAAGUGCGUGGGAGUAACUGUUCACGUUUCGACGGUAUCUAACCAGAAAGCCACGGCUAACUACGUG